AACGAACGCUGGCGGCAUGCCUAACACAUGCAAGUCGAACGAAGGCUUCGGCCUUAGUGGCGCACGGGUGCGUAACGCGUGGGAAUCUGCCCUUAGGUUCGGAAUAACAGUUAGAAAUGACUGCUAAUACCGGCUGAUGACGUAAGUCCAAAGAUUUAUCGCCUGAGGAUGAGCCCGCGUAGGAUUAGCUGGUUGGUGUGGUAAAGGCGCACCAAGGCGACGAUCCUUAGCUGGUCUGAGAGGAUGAUCAGCCACACUGGGACUGAGACACGGCCCAGACUCCUACGGGAGGCAGCAGUGGGGAAUAUUGGACAAUGGGCGCAAGGCUGAUCCAGCAAUGCCGCGUGAGUGAUGAAGGCCUUAGGGUUGUAAAGCUCUUUUACCCGUGAUGAUAAUGACAGUAGCGGGAGAAUAAGCCCCGGCUAACUCCGUG
rnacentral:rRNA from 1 species